GCUUCAGCGUGCUACUCUUGAGAGCAAAUCCCAAGUGGGCUCAAUUUUUCAAGUUCUUAACACAAAAGAACCUCCUUCCAGACAAACAAAUUUACUUAGGCCUUCCAUGACAUUGUUAUGCAUAUGGGAGUUACAUGCUCAGAUCUGUAUGGUGACCUUUGGUCCAAGAUUGCUGCAUCCGAUAGCAUCUUCCUUGAGGGAACCUUUGGUCCAAGAUUGCUGCAUCCGAUAGCAUCUUUGUAGUUGCUAGGACAGUUGUAUGAUGCGGUGGCUGUGUAACUCGGCCUCGGCUACAACAUCUCCGGCGAGCUCCUGGUUCACACUUUGAUCAAAGGCUCAUUCAUGUUCCAGGAUCACAGGGGGCCAGAUGACGGAGUAGCAGCUGGGACCUGCAGCCUGAUGUGCCUUGGAUGGAAGGUG